AGUGAACGCUGGCGGUAGGCCUAACACAUGCAAGUCGAACGGCAGCACAGUAAGAGCUUGCUCUUACGGGUGGCGAGUGGCGGACGGGUGAGGAAUACAUCGGAAUCUACUUUUUCGUGGGGGAUAACGUAGGGAAACUUACGCUAAUACCGCAUACGACCUACGGGUGAAAGCAGGGGAUCUUCGGACCUUGCGCGAUUGAAUGAGCCGAUGUCGGAUUAGCUAGUUGGCGGGGUAAAGGCCCACCAAGGCGACGAUCCGUAGCUGGUCUGAGAGGAUGAUGCGCCACACUGGAACUGAGACACGGUCCAGACUCCUACGGGAGGCAGCAGUGGGGAAUAUUGGACGAUGGGCGCAAGCCUGAUCCAGCCAUACCGCGUGGGUGAAGAAGGCCUUCGGGUUGUAAAGCCCUUUUGUUGGGAAAGAAAAGCAGCAGGUUAAUACCCCGCUGUUCUGACGGUACCCAAAGAAUAAGCACCGGCUAACUUCGUG
rnacentral:rRNA from 1 species